rnacentral:rRNA from 1 species
UACGUAGGUGGCAAGCGUUGUCCGGAUUUACUGGGCGUAAAGAGCGCGCAGGCGGUUGAUUAAGUCGAAUGUGAAAGCCCCCGGCUCAACUGGGGAGGGUCAUUCGAUACUGAUCGACUUGAAGGCAGGAGAGGGAAGUGGAAUUCCGGGUGUAGUGGUGAAAUGCGUAGAUAUCCGGAGGAACACCAGUGGCGAAGGCGACUUCCUGGCCUGUUCUUGACGCUGAGGCGCGAAAGCUAGGGUAGCAAACGGG